rnacentral:rRNA from 1 species
AUUGAACGCUGGCGGCAGGCCUAACACAUGCAAGUCGGACGGUAGCACAGAGGAGCUUGCUCCUUGGGUGACGAGUGGCGGACGGGUGAGUAAUGUCUGGGGAUCUGCCCGAUAGAGGGGGAUAACCACUGGAAACGGUGGCUAAUACCGCAUAACGUCGCAAGACCAAAGAGGGGGACCUUCGGGCCUCUCACUAUCGGAUGAACCCAGAUGGGAUUAGCUAGUAGGCGGGGUAAUGGCCCACCUAGGCGACGAUCCCUAGCUGGUCUGAGAGGAUGCCCAGCCACACUGGAACUGAGACACGGUCCAGACUCCUACGGGAGGCAGCAGUGGGGAAUAUCGCACAAUGGGCGCAAGCCUGAUGCAGCCAUGCCGCGUGUAUGAAGAAGGCGUUCGGGUUGUAAAGUACUUUCAGCGGGGAGGAAGGCGGUGAGGUUAAUAACCUCACCGAUUGACGUUACCCGCAGAAGAAGCACCGGCUAACUCCGUGCCAGCCGCCGCUGUAA